ensembl:lncRNA
ACCUUGCUGGAGAUCCCUGCUUACCUGAGGCCUUCUGAAGCAUAACCUGAUGUGCCAAGUGCCAGCCUCUAAGAGCGUAGAGCAGUCAGUGAAACCCUAAAGAAGGAGUGUGUUGGAACAUAUGUAUACAAUGGCUAUGAUUUUGAAAUGUCAUGCUCAAGAACUGAAAAUAAUUUUUGAUGGGAAGCAAAUGUAGAAGCUGUAUGCACUUUUUAGCUUCCUUCUGGUAAGAAGAAAGUUACAAAUCAUUUCUUUAGAGAGACAGUAACCUGAAGAAGAGACGGAGCAGGCAGAGGAAAGAUGGAAAGGUCUAUCCACAGGUGAACAGCAGCUAUACUUAGGCAGUCUUCACUAUGAAAGCAAACCAUAGGAGGGCUGAGAGCUGGUUCCUUCUCCAAAGAUCCUCUGAGUGUGCAUCCCACUGCACACUCAGAGAAUUGUAAGAAUACAAGAUAAGGAGGAGGACAUCGAACAAAGGCUGAAAACCAGGGAGAAAACAUUUAUUUCUCCUUGUUUAAGGCUAACAGAUCCAACUAAACCUGAAGUCUAACUACACUAAAGACAGCACGUUACCUGGUGGUGACAAGAUUUUCUAGUAGAGUUGCCCCUGGCAGAGCAACUGCAAUCAUUAUGCCCACUCUUGGUAUCAACAGAAACCUUCCUUCCAGAGCCCAGGCAAGCCCUGUGGCCAACUCUCUGUUUGCUGAGUAGUCGAGUCCCUCAGCUUUACCUUUCAGAAUUUUUGGCUUAAAAUUAAAAGUUGUAUUAGUAAACAUUGGUGCAAUAGGAAAAUCCAUGAAACUGAGGAGCUAUUACUUCCAUCUGACUAAAAAAAAUGCUGCUCUCUGUUCCUUCUGGCUGUGGACCAAGACACCAUGGCUUGCAGUCUGUCCUCUCCAAGAUGUGUACUGCAGACUCUUCCCUCCCACCGAUGCAGGGAACAGAACACGUCGCAUCGAUUCUGCACACAGAUCCUGAUGAUCCAUCGCCUACCAGGUCCCUUUUCAGGCCUCCUUGUUCAAUUUGUCAGUUAUUUAAAAGGCUCUGCCUGAUACACUUCCCUCUGCUGUUCCAGAAUUUUUCUUCUAUCAGCCUAUAUAACCAUUAGGAAAGGUGAAGAUUUGUCUUUUUUUUUUUUAUUUUUUUUAUUUUUUGCUUUAAUUCAUACAUUGGUAUCAAAACGAAAAAAUGUAGAAAAAAACUUAAAGAUAUUAGUAAUAGUGUUAUUACUGUUAUUUAGUUCUCCAACAUCUUUUCUGGAAAUAAUGAGAACAGGAAAUAGAAUUGCUUCAUUUCAUAAACUUACACUUGUAGCAAGUCACAGUCCAUACAUUAGUUUCACCAGUUCUCCAAUUUAUUAUUCCAACCCAUACUCAUUCUCCCAGCUUACUAACAUUUUAAAUUCUGUACUUGAAUUGUUGGGUACAUAUUUGCAUCUUAAUUCUGAGAGCUAUGGAGAAAAAAAAAAACCCUUUUAUUUACAACUCAACAAUUCUGGCAUUGCAUUUCCGGCCAUUUCAUUUUCUCUUUAAGUUAGAGAAAUGCAAUUAGUUAAUACAUAUUCAUACAUAUUUGCUAUGCUGAAUAUCUCCAUUUCUAAUAGCAACUAGAUCUGUUGUUACUGAAAAGCAAAGGAUCUGUAUUUAUUUCAUAAAUUUUAGAAAUCUUUUCUGUGCGAUACCUAACACCAUCUAAUAGUAUAUGAAGCAGAAUUGUAUAAGUCUUAAACAUUUUUCCAGCUCAUGAUGUAAUUAUGCCUACUUCUAACAAGUAAACCCAUUCCUGCAGUUAUUUUAUUU